CCUACGGGAGGCAGCAGUGGGGAAUCUUGCACAAUGGAGGAAACUCUGAUGCAGCGACGCCGCGUGAGCGAUGAAGCCUUUCGGGGUGUAAAGCUCUUUCGGCAGGAACGAUAAUGACGGUACCUGCAGAAGAAGCUGCGGCUAACUACGUGCCAGCAGCCGCGGUAAU
rnacentral:rRNA from 1 species